AUCAUCUUUUCGCCGAUAAUGAUGCAAAUUACCCUGCUGUACAUACUAUAAUAAAUAUACUAUUGAUUACAUUUUAUAUUAUAUAGGUGAGAUGAUGGUGGCGGUGGUGGUGCAUAGUUUGUCACUCUUGGUGUGGUAUGGUGGUGUUCAUGAUGUUCAUGGUGGUGGUGAUGGUGAUGCACAGCCCAUAGUUCCUAGUGUAGUGAUAGUGGUGGUAAUGGUGAUGUUGUUCAUGGUGGUGGUGGUGGUGGUGAUGCACAGCUCGUAGCUUCUGGCGUGGUGAGUCAGUGGUAUUCGUGGCGUGGUGGUGUUGAUGGCGGUAAUGGUGUUGAUAGUGGUGGUGGUGGUGUAGGUGAUGAUGAUGGUGAUGUAGUCUGUACUUCCUGAUGUGGUGAUAGUUGAUGGCUUGAGGGCGUGGUGUUGUUGUUGGUGGUAAUAGUGUUGACGAUGGUAAGGGUGUUGAUGACGGUGGUAGUGGUGGUGUUGAUGGUGAUUAUGAUAUUGGUGUUGAUGUUAGUGGUGGUGGUGGUGUUGGUGAUGGUGGUAAUGCUGUGUUAUGGUGGUGGUGGUGGUGGCGAUGAACGAUUAAUUUAACGUUAUAUCCUUUGCGUGCCCUAUAUGCCUGGAGGUGUUAUUUGUAUUUUAUCAUAGCUUUAUUAUUAUUAUUAUUAUUAUUAUUAUUAUUAUUAUAAUCAUUGUUAUUAUUGGUAUUGAAAUUUCCUCUACAAUUACAAAUGUGAGCUUUGACUGUGAUUUUAAUGCUCAAAUUUUUUGUAAUAUCAAUACUACUGUGCUGCUUUUGCUCAUGUUUCUGAUACAAAAAUAUUACUGCCUUCGCUGUUAUUAUUCUUAUUCUUAUUCUUAUUCUUAUUAUUAUUAUUAUUACUCCCAGUAUUGCUUUUAAUCUUAUCAUCAUCGUCAUUAUUAUUACCGCUGUCGUUUUUUUUAUAUAUUGUUUUCUCGUCAGUGUAAAAUAUUAUAAUAUUAGAAAUAGUUGUAUUAGCAGUGGUAGCAGUAAUAGUUGGGGUGUUAGCUGCAAUACCAGUGCAAGACGAAUUGCCUCAAAUAUAAGAAUUUUUAAAUCCUUAUAUAUAUCUACUCUUCCAUUUAUAUGUAUUUUAUUCAUAAUUUAUUUUGUAUUUUUAUAUAUUCACAGCUCAAGUUUCGCAGUUAUAUAUCGAGAAGCAACUUAUCAAAUCGUACUAUUGCAUUUUUUCUCAUCAUUUCUUUCCAACAUUUUUACAGCACCGAAUCACCAGAAAUUAUAAGAAUUGUCUGAUCAAUAUGACACAUCGCGACACUGAUUGAUUGAUUGUGUGUGUGUGUGUGUGUGUGUGUGUGUGUGUGUGUGUGUGUGUGUGUGUGUGUGUGUGUGUGUAAUAAUUUUCGCCAUUGAUUGACAGUCCUUCACUAUACAUUGUUGUGGCAAGGAAGAGUACCACCGAAGAACCUGGGUGCAGGUGGCCUACUUAGUAGCAGCCGUUGCUGUAUAUUUGAUUUUUUUUUUUUUUUUUUUAGGUUUACUACGAAAUGUGAAAAAUAUAAAUCAUUUUAUCACAGGUAUUUGUGAUUGCAUUAUUAUUAUUAUUAUUAUUAUCAUCACUGAUUGUGGCAGUGGUAACAGUAAUAGUAGUAGUUGUGGUAGUAGUAGUAGUAGUAGUAGUAGUAAUAGUUGUUGUUAUACCACUACCACAACCAGCUGAAGUGGUGAUUGAAUAUAAUUCAAUAGAAUUAUUUAUAUUAUUAUUUUUUAUUAUUUAUAUUAUUGUUUUGAUUAUUUAUAUUAUAAUUGAUAUUAGUUUGUAUUAUUUUGUUAUUAUCAUUAUUAUUAUUAUUAUUAUUAUCAUUAUUAUUAUUAUAAGUAUCAGUUAUUUUUCUUAAUACUAUCAGAACUAUUGCUAUCAAUAUCAUCACUAUUAUUCCCUCCUCUGCUACUGCUUCUACUGCUACUAUUAUAUUACUAUUAUUUCUGCUACAUCUAUUUUAUUAUCUUCAAUAUUUUAUUAUUAUUAUUAUUCCAGUCAUGAUAUCACUUCAGACUGAACACAUCGUUGCAGGUCACAAAUUUGCAUGAAGAUUGCUUUGGGCUAGUAUAGAAUUUGAUUUCUGACACAUUACAGCAUUCUUGUAUUUUUUUCCGCAUAUAAUAGGAAAAGGUCAUGGCUUUCCUUAUGUUAGGAGCCAAAUGAUAAUUUUCAAGGUUUUAUUUCUUUAGUUAUUUUGUGCUUGUAACUUUUUUUCGUGUGUGUGUGUGUGUGUGUGUGUGUGUGUGUGAUACAGCUUCAAAUCUAAGAAUACAUGAAUGCCAGAGUAAUCGACCGUAAUGUCACUGAGGAAUUUGCGGUAAUUUUUUAAGACUUGUAAGAAAUCCAUGAAAAGAAAUGUACUGUUAGGAAACAAUGUAGAACAACAACUGGAACUCCUGUUACUGCUGCUACAUCUUUUACCUUCUACUACUACUACUACUACUAUUACUACUACUACUACUACUACUACAAUUACUCCUACUGUAAGAUAUGAAGAGGAUGCUAUAGAUGUGUGUGUGUAUGUAUGUGUGUGUGUGUGUGCAAGCAAGGUGUACGAGAGAGGUAUAGGCGUCAUAACGGUGUAGCGUCUAGCCGGUUCGCCUGGGAGAGAGGGAGAGGGAGGGAGAGGAGAGAAGGAAGGAGCGAGGUGAGAGAGACGAGGGUCGGGUGGGGGAAGAGUGGCUAGACUGGUAUAGGUGAAGUAAGGUUGUGUGUGCAUGUGUGUGUGUGUGUGUGUGUGUGUGUGUGUGUGUGUGUGUUAUUCUGGCCUACCAUACGUUCCCCUUCCAUCUUUUCUUCAUUAUUUAAUCUCAAAGACGUAAUUUGUAGUAUCUCUUAUGUAAUGUGGUUCCCCACUUUUCAAACUUGCUUGCAUCUCCGUGUUUCUUUUCUUUCCUUCUGUUCUUAUACGUUUCUUCCCUCCUAUUCUACGUUGGUUAGUCAUGUCUUCUUCUUGACCUAUUUGUUCGUGUGUAUGUGCGUGUGUUGCAGACGGUCAAGUUGAACCGUGUGUGUGUGUGUGUGUGCAGGGAGCUUGAGGGAGGGAGAGAGGGAGAGGGUGUGUGGGGGUGUGAGGGUGCCUGCGGUAUGAUGAUUCACGUGUGUGUGUAUGUAUGUGUGUGUGUGUGUGUGACUGCAACCAGCCAGGCGAGCGGGUGGUGGUGGUGGCGGCGGCGGUGGCGGAGUUGGUCAUUGUCUGUGUACGUGCAUGUGUGCGCGUGGAAGUUUUCAUGAGCAGAAGAGUCUUUGUAUGUAUAUACCUCUAAGAAGAAGUACACACACGAGUCCUGAAGCUUACGUGUCUAUGCUUGCCCCUCUCUCUCUCUCUCUUUCUCUCUCGUGGUCUCCCGGUAAUGCAACUGGCGAGAGUGAGUGCGGGGAGGAGGUGGAGGAGGAGGAGGUGGUGGAGGUCAGGGAGGAGGGGAGAGGAGCGAGACAGGUCGGGAGAGGGAGGCCGGGAGGGAGAGGGGACGAGGAGGGGGUAGAGCAAGAGCAAGAGGAAGGGGGAAGGAGAGGGAGAGAGGAGUGAUGCGGUGUUGCCGGUUGUGGUGGGGACGGCCUGGCCCCGCCCCUUACUAAGUACGCCUGUGCACUUCUCUUCUCUCUCCCCUUAAUUAGUGAGCGAUGGGGGUAGUAGGGGCGUGUAUGGGCUUCGGGGAUGCACGGGGCAGGGCCUGGGGUGGGUGUGGGGGCGGCGGGGCUGGUGGUGGCGGCGGUGUGUGGCGGGGCCGGGGUGCAGCUGUGCUUGCGGGGGACUCGACGUGGUAGUUGCAAGCGCUGGGUGAAGCAGACCCGUUGCCUCCCGCCUGCUUGUCCUCCCCUUCCCGCCUGCUUCCGUGCUUCCCGCCCCGUCUGCAGAGCGUUGUCCCGCCGCCUGAGGAGUUCCAGGGGCGUGGGUGUGACUCCGUGCCCCUACACCCGUAAAUUCACCCACAGGUCACUCCGCCCACCCCCACACCCGCGUGAUCCCUCUGUACCCCACCCACGCCAUCCCCCACCCACGCCCGCACGCUUCCCACGCCCACGCCACCGCCUGCACCACCUCCACUGUCACCACCACGCCAGUCUGCACCUCCACCACCACCACCGUCACCACCGCCGCCCAGGACGUGUUAACACCCACUGCCGGAGAUGUAAGGUGGUGGUGGUGGUGGUGGCUCCUCGGCCUGGCUAGACGGGGAGAGAGAGAGAGAGAGAGAGAGAGUUCACCCCGAUAUUGACAUCUCAAGCGAGAGUGAACGGUGUGUCUGUCCCUUGCUUGCUUGCUUGCCUGUCUGUCCGUCUGUCUGUCUGUCUGUAUGUCUGUCUCCCUACCCUGCCCCGCCCCGCCCCGGUAGUGCCCCUGAACCUUUUUCGUCGCCACACCGGGAUAGAAAAAAAAUAAGAAAAUAAAGCAAGAAGACAUGAGAAAAAAGGAUUAUACUUUGAAUACUGGAAAAAAAGUUCGUUACUGAAGAGUGGAUUCUCCAUAAUAAUUAUCGUAAAAAAAUAUCACUAAUAAUAACAGCAACAAUGAUUAUUAUGAUGUUAUGAUGUGAUUAUUAUACGAAAAGAAAAAAGUAAGAGAGAAGAAAAGAAAAGAAAGGAAGCCCAAGCUAGCAAGAGAAAGAAGAGAGAAGGGAAGGAGAGAUGUGAUGGUGGUGGUGAUAGUGAUGGUGAUGAUGGUGGGGAGGUAAUAAACUAAAUUACUCAUGCUGCUCCACCUCCACCACCACCACCUCCUCCACCUCCACAUUAAACCCCCACACAGAACCCGGCGCCAGCAUCACCGCCCCUUCCUAACAUCAAACAGGUAAGAUGCAUGGUGGGCAGGUGUUACGAGUAGGAAAGGUAAGGUUCUGGUACUGAUCUUGUUAUUGUUAUUCUUGUAUUUUUUUUAUUGUAUGGGGAUCGUUACUCUCGGUCGGCAUUUUAUUAUACGAUUA